UAUAAAGACAUAUCUAUGUAGUAAAAUAUAAACAGUGAUGAGUCUCAGAGAGGCUCUUAGUAUUAUGAGUGUAUGAUCAUAUAAUGUAUUGUUCAAGCUGGGGUACUUUUGAGAGUGAAAGAAAAUGCUUCUAAUAGUUGAACUAAGACAACAGGCAUAAAGUGGGACAGUCCCAGGCAAACCAAGACCUAUAGUAACCCUUGUUAUGAGGAAUUGGCAGGGAGGAAAAUCAUAGUGGAAAGGGGCAUCUGUGAUAGUUUUAUGUGUUGGCUGGACUGAAUCAGUGGAUGCCCAUAUAUCUGGUUAAACAUUAUUUCUAGAUGUGUCUGUGAGGAUGUUGCUGAAUGAGAUUAGCAUUUGAAUCAGUGGACUCAGUGAAGUAGAUUAACCUUCCUGAAAGUGGUGGGCUUAUUACCUUUUUUCUUGCCCUUCAACUGAGAUUUACAUCAGCUGCCCUGUUUCCCAGGCCUUUGUACUUGAACUGAAUUACACCACUGGGUUUCCUGAGUCUUCGACUCACAGAAGGCAGACAUGGCACUUCUCAGCUUCCGUAAUUGGAAACCUGGUUCCAAGUGCUCUAAAAUGCCAGGUACAAAGGAGCAAGACAUGGCAAAAAAUGUACAUAAAAGCAGGAGGAAGCAGAUGAGUCACAAGAGGCCUAGAUUAUUUGCACCAGAAAUGAGCCCAGAAUGGGUUGAAGUGACACUGCUGUGAUAAAGCUGAAUUAGCCCUUGGCAAAAUUGUUUCUGAGACCUUUUCUCUUUUCUCCACCCUUUGGCUUUCCUGUCAGUACCCAUCCACUCCCAUUUUCCUUCCCCGGGGCCCCAAGAACCUCCUCCAGUCAGUGAAAAUCUUCACCAAACUAAAUUGGAAAAAAACCGA